rnacentral:rRNA from 1 species
AUUGAACGCUGGCGGCAUGCCUUACACAUGCAAGUCGAACGGCAGCACGGGUGCUUGCACCUGGUGGCGAGUGGCGAACGGGUGAGUAAUAUAUCGGAACGUACCUUAUUGUGGGGGAUAACGCAGCGAAAGCUGUGCUAAUACCGCAUAAUCCCUAAGGGGGAAAGCGGGGGACCGUAAGGCCUCGCGCAAUUAGAGCGGCCGAUACCUGAUUAGCUAGUUGGUGAGGUAAAGGCUCACCAAGGCAACGAUCAGUAGCUGGUCUGAGAGGACGAUCAGCCACACGGGGACUGAGAAACGGCCCAGACUCCUACGGGAGGCAGCAGUGUGUAAUUUUGGACAAUUGGGGCAACCCUGAUCCAGCAAUGCCGCGUGAGUGAAGAAGGCCUUCGGGUUGUAAAGCUCUUUUGUCAGGGAAGAAACAGCAGCUCUAACACAGUUUGCGAAUGACGGUACCUGAAGAAUAAGCACCGGCUAACUACGUGCCAGCCGCCGCCGUAA